UGACCGCGACGAGGGCGGCGCGUUGCUC
rnacentral:sRNA from 1 species